UACGGAGGGUGCAAGCGUUAAUCGGAAUUACUGGGCGUAAAGCGCGCGUAGGCGGCUUAUUAAGUCGGAUGUGAAAUCCCCGAGCUCAACUUGGGAACUGCAUUCGAUACUGGUUCGCUAGAGUGUGGUAGAGGGAAGUGGAAUUCCAGGUGUAGCGUGAAUAGCGUAGAUAUCUGGGGGAACGAUCAGUGGCGAAGGCGGCUUCCUGGACCAACACUGACGCUGAGGCGCGAAAGCGUGGGGA
rnacentral:rRNA from 1 species